rnacentral:lncRNA from 1 species
AGCAGAGGUCUGAAACUAUUCUUGACUCUUUGUUUUUUUUUUUAACGGGGAAAAGGAGACAAGAAGAAAAAAGAAAAAAGAAUAAAAGAAAGUAAAUGCUGUUAAAACCGUAAUCGUGUUGGGGCAUUAUGACUUCAGUUGUGAACACGCGUCGCUUCUCGGUGGGAGAGCAGAUGGGAGGGCCGUGAAGGAAGCAAGCAGAAAAACAGGACGCACAGAAAUGAUACAGUUGACCACAAUUCUUUUCUGCAAGAACAUACACAGGAUUAGGGAAACUCGGAAUUGGAGAUAUUAGUGUUGUAUCUGAGGGCCCAGAACUAGUAAAAUGGAAAAUGGAGCAAUGGGUAUCACAGCC